rnacentral:lncRNA from 1 species
AUUUCAAAACUUUAAAGUUUUGUAAACAGUUGAUUUAUAAUUAUGACCAUAUCAAUGCUUUGCAUGUCAACACAGAAGUGCAGACUACUAGGCUGGUGAUACCUUCGGGGAAUACAAACUCCGCCAGCAGUGGAAUCGACCCAGUGGUAGUAAAUAAACUCAUCAUAGAUACCAUGAUUGAAAUAAAAACUAUAAAAAACGAAACCGGAAAAGACAAACAAAACUCUUCAACACACAACAUGGAAAACUAACUACAACAUAAACCAAAACAUUUUUUGGAACGAAAAGGGGGAUGGUCUCAAGUGCUCCGGAAGUGAUAAUAAAUCCUUCGAUUUUGAGUUAACAUAGUUUACGAUCUUCAAC